CCAGGCUCCAAGCUGUCAGCGCAGAGCCCGACGCGGGGCUCGAACUCACGAACCGCGAGAUCGUGACCUGAGCCGAAGUCGGACGCUUAACCGACUGGGCCACCCAGGCGCCCCGUAAGACGGGUUGGUCUUAUGUGUAUUUUCCCUCAGUUAAGAAGCAAAGACGAUUCUGAGGUCCAGUCUUCUAUUCUGAAGGUGUGCCAACAAUGGCUGGGUGUAGGGAGCGGAUGUACAGCAGAGGCUUCUCAGAAGCCCUCCCUAGGAUGUGGGCAGGUGUCCAACACCCUCCACCCAGCCACCACCCUGUGACCUAACCCUUUUCGCUUCUCUCCACAGCCUGGCAACGUCCGAAGACCGUAAUCUUGGACUGAAUGUGCACUCACCCAGCAGAGACAGCAAAUUAUAUCCUCAGGGAAUCUUCCCUCAGGAGGGCCACGGUUUUGUGGGCAUAUUCUUUCCACGGUGAAGAAAUAAAAGUGAAUCUAGGGGUAAACCACUUUGCUCGGUGCACGUUCACAAAGCCUGAUCUUUGCCGCGAAGAUGGGCACGUAAGGCUUGUUAAGUGAAUGUUAAUAACCAGGUGUUCGGACCUUCUUAGAGGGCUGGUUAUCUCCCGUUUCAGUCAUUAGUGGCCCGUGGGAAUAGUGGCUCCAUAAAACCUUGUGUAUUUUCUUUUGAGAUUUCUCUGUCAGGCUUAUGGCGAGGCAUACAAGGGGCGCUCGCCACCCAGAAAUGAUGCACGUGGGGGACUUCGACAUCACAGGCCACAUCCGUCCCGGGAAUGGCCUCGCCCUUCAGAGAGCAGUGUCACCUCCACAAGAUGCCGGCUGCUUAUGCGGAGGCUGUGGCACGAGGAGAUGGCAGGAGACUCACCGUCAACGUCGGGAUGAGCAGAUUCUAGAACCGCUCCCACUCCGUGCCCAGCGUUGCUCUACUCUGGGCAGCGAGAGACAGCGACACCACUUUGUCUGAGCCAUUUGGAUCGGGUGGCCUGUGGCUUGCGGCCAAAUACGUCCUCAGGGAGACAAGGCUCACGUGCCCAGGCGACCCAGAACCCAGACUCAGGAGACCUGAGUUGAUUCCAGUCCCAGCUCCCCCGGAAAUUUAACCCGAUGUCACUCUCUUUGCCUGCACAGCGUGGAGCGAGAAAAUGGAUCCACUUUGCGGCGCAGUUAACUCUAUGGGAAACAACGAUAAUUGCUCUGGAACCGAACACCAGCCUCCCCCUGCGCUCACUGAGAACGAGGCAGAUUCUCCCACUCGCCUAUAAUGUGGCUCAGAACACAAAUGCCUUUUCUGGUCCGUGCUGGGAAUCAUUCCUGAAACUCAUCUGGUACAGAAGCAAAGGCCGCUUCCUGGGUCGAGGGGUCUCCUUUGGGGGUGAAUCAACGUCCUCAAAACACGCAGAAAACCCCGUUUGUCUGAACAAGGACCACAGAGUCUGGUGAAAAAAGAUGCCUGCCCACAAGCCCCCCUCCCCAAACUGGCCUUCGUUGCCUUGAAGAGAUAACCAAGUAAGAUAAGUGCUAAAGGGGAAAAGAAGCCUUGGUCUCGUGUUUCGGGUAUUCAGAGACAAAGUGCAAUUGUCAGAGGCAUGAGAAACCGGCCGUGGGUGCGGGGAGUCACAAGCCACACGGGGGUGGGGACAACUUAUCUUGUCAGGAAGUCGGCAUGUGAAACAGGAGCAGGGCAAGGGGCGGACAGGGGUCCCUCUGGACCCUCAUACGUAGCAGACCCCGGGAUUCUUUCAUUUCCAACCAGGUUGACUUCGGUCCUGCCAUUCUGCAGAAAGCCGGCCAGAUCAGGUCAGUUUCUUUCCCUGGCUCGCACAAGGAAGCUGUGAGCUAAGAGUCCUCUCUCCGAGCCCUUCUGUGCCUCGUCCAGAGCUGGCACGGCCAGGCCCGGCAGGGUCUAGGGCAUGGGCACGUCUCCGGGGCUGGCCUCAGCUCCCGAGCCCCGUGGGCUCACUCUCCAGCUAGCAGGCCAACUGUUCGGGGCUGGGGAGCAGUGGGCAGGUCUGGGCUUCCAGAGACCGACUUCUCGAGAGGCGGGACAACCUCGCCGAGCGACCGAUCCUAUCUGGCUGUGAAGGUCACCAGAAACAGGGACUGGCUCCGCGCUUUGACCUGCAGGUUGGGCCCGUGGUGUCCUUUGGGGAGGCAGUAAGAACGUAGCCAACGGCACGCAGGAGGCAGAGACCUGCCUUCUCUCUUAACCAUGUGGCCUUAGUCAACUUCUGAUAGGGCAAAGAUAGGAUAAAUUUGGCAGAGAGGGAAAGGUUAGGACCUGAGGUCCCCGGGUGGGGAAAAACACACAUUUUGGAACAAUGCUGGGAGUGUCUGACCACAGCAAGCCCCCUUAGGCCUUGCGGUUCCUCUUGAGAAUGUAACAGGCACUACCCACCCCCCCUCGGGUUUCCCUCAGGAAUCCGACCAUCAAAAUACCUGACUAAAAUAGGUGAACCAUAAAACUCACAUUAUAGGAGGGACAGUAUGACCACCGGCCGGUUUCUCACACAAUGGAGCCGAGCCAAUCAGGAGUGGAUGACCCAGCACCGAGAGCGAUCCAGCCAAGAAGGUUGGACCUGAGAAGGAAUGAGGCGAAGGCAAGUGGGGUGACCAGAACCCUAGAAAACAAAGACCCUUGCCUACAGUUGGGGGCGUUCACUUUUGAAUGCCCCCUCUCGGGGCGCCCGGGUGGUGCAGUCGGUUAAGUGUCCGACUUCAGCCAGGUCACGAUCUCGCGGUCUGUGAGUUCGAGCCCCGCGUCGGGCUC